rnacentral:lncRNA from 1 species
GGGCCUCGUUGCGCCGGAGCCCGGGAAGGAGGUGGAGCGAGAGCGUCGCGCCGAGCGAGGGGCCGAGGGGCUGAAGCACCUGCGUGAGGACCCGCAGACACCUGAGGGAGCGAGGAACAGAUUGGGGAGUCGUAGGGGGCCGACGGUGGGACCUUCAGGGGACAGAGGGAGAAGAAAAUACUGAUUUAUCAGACGAUGGCUAUAAUUUUUUUGCAACUGACUUGCCAUCAAGAAAUGUUGACAGCAAGAAAUAUAUCAAGUUUUCUAAAACAGAGAAGAGAAUUUCACCUGAAGUUAGGGGUUUGAGCCCAGAUCACACAAAAAACAUUGACUGA